rnacentral:pre_miRNA from 1 species
CGAUGGUGAUGAUGAUGAUGAUGAUGAUGAUGGUGAUGAUGCUGAUUUAGCAUCACCAUCACCAUCACCAACGUCAUGAUCAUCAUCAUCAUCAUCAUCAUCAUCAUCAUCAUCAUCA